rnacentral:misc_RNA from 1 species
ACGAAUAUAUGUCUGUUUUGAGACAUUUUUCUAUUUCAAACACCUGUGAAUUUUAUGAAAUUUUUGCUUUGGCUGAAAUUAAUAUAUAUAUUUUUUUCGACCAAAAGUUUUUAAUUAAAACCUUUUUAUUUUUAAACAUUUUGAAUCUGAAGACUGUUUUAUGAAAAAUUUAUUUA